rnacentral:sRNA from 1 species
UAAGGAUGAAACCUUCCUGAUCGACUCGUGAGGUAAAAGAAACAGUCGGUGCGAAGUCGUAACAUGGUAGUUGACAGUGAACUUGUAGCUGAACCAAAA